rnacentral:lncRNA from 1 species
UGGCGAGAGUGAGGCUGAAUUAAUACCUGAUGACUUUGAAGAAAAACCAGAAAGAGAAAAGAAACAUACCAACUUUACUUUGUGCAAUGUAUGUAACAUUCAGCUGAAUUCAGCCGCUCAAGCACAAAUCCACUACAAUGGCAAAUCACAUCAAAAGAGAUUAAAACAACUCAGCAAUGGGACGCUGAAAAAUGACAAUGUUUUGCCAUUUUUGCUUCAAGCAUUUGGAAGUUCCAUGGUAGGGACAUAUCCAUUUAGCAUUAUAUCUUCUUGUUUACAGAACAUUCUAUGCAGUUUCUUAUAUGGACCACUCAUGGAGCUGUUCAGAUUUUCAUACAAAAAGAGGUUGUUUUUUUUUCUGGCAAUAUUAUCUGUCACAAUUAUCCCUUCACUUAGUAGUUAGAAGUCGGGGGGUGCUAAGAGCAAUUUCCACAGAUGCUUUGUUUGUGGAGAAAAGUAGGAUGGCCCCUCUGCUUGUCUUAGUGCAGAGCAAGGAAUGGCUUCGAAGCCAUUCCUUGAGUACUGAGGUCUCUGUGUAGUCUUACUUCUUUUCUGAAUUUUUCAGAGUCUUCUGAUAGUUGCUUGAUAUAUUUUGUCUAUGGUUUUCAGUUCUAUGUAGUAGAAAGAAUAGAGUAUCUCCCCCCAGUCCUCUAAGUAGAAAUAAAAAUUAAUAUAAAAAAUUAA